CCGAUAUAGCUCAGUGGAAGAGCAACUGUUUCGUAAACAGUAGGGCGUUGGUUCGACUCCAAUUAUCGGC
rnacentral:tRNA from 1 species